rnacentral:rRNA from 1 species
GACGAACGCUGGCGGCGUGCUUAACACAUGCAAGUCGAACGGACAGGCCCUGCUUUUGUUGGUUGCUCGAUUGGCGCACGCGUGAGUAUCACGUGUGUAUCCUCCCCUUGACUUUCUGAUAACUUCAGGAAACUCGGGCUAAUAUCCGGUAUGAGCUCCUGCUGCAUGGUGUUGAUUGGAAAGUUUCGGCGUUUGGGGAUGUACUCGCGGCUUAUCAGCUUGUUGGUGGGGUAGUUGCUUACCAAGGCUGUGACGGGUAGCCGGCCUGGGAGGGGGACCGGGCACAAGGGGACUGAGGGACGGACCAGAAGCGAAUGGGAGGCAGUAGGGGGGAGUAUGGCAGAGUGGGCGGAAGCGAGAGGCAGAAACGCCGGGAGCGGGAAGAUGGCUUUCGGGGGGUAAACAGAUGUGGAAGGAGACGAAGAGAGAGUGACGGUAACGGGUAAAGAAGCAACGGCUAACUACGUG